CUCUGCACCUGUGGCUUGGCAAAUUAGAUUACUUACCGGAGCUAUGCAGAAUCUGCACCGUCUUAUAUCUCGUCUUUCCUCGGGUCUGUGAAAAGCUUGCAGCUCAGUUGCACCACCAAGUUGAGAAUAAGAGAGCUGAGGUCGAACCCAAGAAGAUCUCGGAGUAUCAGAUUAUUGAGAUUACGGAGAAUGUUUGUAAUCUGAAGAAGGCGGAGGUGGAUUGGAUUUUGCUGAUUGACAUAGUUGAACAAGGAGAUAAGUUGCAGACGGAGGACUGGAGGAGCAGCUGCAUGGCAGCAUGGAACUGAUGGAAGUUUGGUUGUUCACUUGUUGUCUUGUCGAACAUUGUUUUCGUUUUUAAUUUGUUAUGUUGUUAAGACAAUAUGUGUUGUUGAACUUGCUGUGUAACUAUGUUGAUUGAAAUCAUUGAAUGACUGUUAUUUGCAAGAUGGAUUUAUUUGCAGCCUUGCUGCUAGUGCAGAUUGCACUUUGCAGAAUGGUUUAUUGGUUUUA